rnacentral:lncRNA from 1 species
AAACCCACACCACAGCAGUGACCCAAGCCAUAGCAGUGACAAUACCAGAUCCUGAACCCCCUGAGCCACCAGGGAACUCCUCUUCAUGGUACUUUUUAAUCCUGAUUUUUUUUUGUAUCCGUCUUCUAGAAAAGGAGCUCUAUAAGAAUACCUGUAGUUUAAUUUGAGCACUGCUAUUUCCCAUAUUGUUGAUUUUGACCUUAACUUUUGAACUAUAAAUUAGUCAGCAACUCUGCAGAGGGAGUGUUGAGCAAGGGUGGUAAAGUAGGUAGGACUGCAUUGUGGAGGGCUGUGUGCCCCUUUCAGACAUUGCAUUCUAUCUUGCAGGUGAUGGGGAAUUUGUGUAUACAACAGUACACAACAGGCCUGCAAAUUUUAGUUACAGAAUUCUUAGCACCAUCAGUAUUAUACUAAAGGAAACACGUGUGUUUUUGGUGUUUAUGUGGUAUAUGCAUUACAAGGGUUAUCACCUUCUAUUUGAAGAAGCUGAAUCACUUCUAGCUUGCCACUUAAAACAGUUGUUUCCUCCUGGAUGAGAAUAAAAUGUCCCUGAAUAGAGAGAUGGGCAAUCAUUUGCCCACAAGAUCCUUCUAAUAAAAAAGCCCCAAGGAUGUUAGCAACUUGGGGUGAGAGAAGUUAUUAGGAAGAAAGCUAUUCAAAACCCAACAAAUCUCUCUUGUUGAUUGGCCGCAAAAACUUUAGUGCCCACAAUGAUUUUAUGGCACAGGAGGUUAUGGGGUAAGAAUGGGUGGAUACAAAGAAAUAUGAGUCGCUUUGUCUCCUCCUCUGCUGGGUUUCACAGAGAAGCCCAGGUCUAUCCCUCCUUUCUAGGCACCCACUACCAGCACCUUAGUACAGGACACUUUCACCUCUAGUCUCCUGAUUAUCCUGCUAACCCAUGUUCCUACCACCUGCCUUGGACCCUUCCAUUCUUUCAGAGGGAUGCUGUUAAAAUGCAAAUGUGAUCUCAUCACUCCUCUCCUAAGAAACUCAGGUGCUGGGGGAUAACAGGGUUGACCAGCCCGAAUGACGGACAUGGGAGCUGCCUGCUUCCCACGUCUCACCUUCCUGCAGUCUCACCUCCUGCAUUCUUUCCGGAUCCUCUGGCUUCUUGUUCCAGUCCCAGGGAACCACCUGCAGUUCUCCCAACAGCCCAUGCUCUCACUUUCUGGAACUUUGCACGUGCUUUCCUAGGUAUCCUUUUCUGUCUCACAAGUAUUUUUGCUGUCUUCGCUCCAGCAACAAUUCUGCAUGUGUUGUAUGUAUUACAUUUUGUGUUCCAUCUCCAAAAAAGCUAUUCUAAAAGACCUCACAUUAUUUAUCACCUUGCCAGAGGCUGCCAGGCUUAAGGAUUUUGUAGUCUAUGUUCUCCUAGUUCUUGUGUCAAAAAUGAUUACAUCUUAUACUUGCAGGUUUCAUGUCAGCCUAGAAAAUUUUGCAGGCAUAAUCUCAUCUGGGAGUCCUCUUUUUCUUUUGCUACAGUUUUGUUAUUGCUCCCUCCCAAAGCAGGGAAGUUAAAUUCACAACAAAAUUGCCACCUUUGUCUCCAUUACCUAGCCUAAGAGAUUCAAAAUAUAUCUUCAGAAGACUUUCUUAUAUUGACUGAAUCAGAUAUGAACAUGGCUGAAGCAUGGGUUAAUUGCAAAAUAGUUUUAUUUAUUUAUAUUCUUAUUUAUGCUUCCAUUUUAAAAAAAAAAAAAGGUCAUUUAAACAACCUACAAAUCCUUAAAAAUGAUUCUCAGUGCUUUGCCUUCAACACAAUUAAAAUCAAACACAAGGUGACAUUAAAGACUGAAGCUUGGGGAGUUCCCGCUGUGGCUCAGCAGUGACAAACCCAACCUGUAUCCGUUAGGAUGCCAGUUUGGUCCCUGUCCUCACUCAGUGGGUUAAAGAUCCAGCAUUUCCGUGAGCUUUGGUGUAGGUCGCAGACUGGGCUCAAAUCUGGCAUUGCUGUGGCUGUGGGGUAGGCCGGCAGCUAGAGUUCUGAUUUGACCCCUAGCCUGGGAACUUCCAUAUGAUAUAUGGGCGCCCUAAAAAAAAAAGACUGAAGCUUGGGAAAAGGGAUAUUACAGAAUACAUUAUUAGGGUUAGUAUAGAACAGAAUUUGCAGUUAUUUCUUUUUAUUUCUUUAAAAUAUUUUAAAUAAUAAUCAUGGAGGAAAAAAAUCUCUAAGUCAUUAUCCUAAAGAUGGCAGCAAUGCCUUCCAAAAUUUUAAAGCUACUAUGUUUUUCAGGAGUUAUGACCUCAGGCGCAACAACAUCUGGUUUGGAGUCCUGAUUCUGUCACCUGCCAGUUAUGCUAUGAUCUUGGGCAAGUCACUUAUUCCUUUUGAGCCUCAGGCUCCUCAGCCAUAAAAUGGAGAUAAUUAUACUCAGCUCAUAAGGCAGUUGUAAAAAUGGAAUAAAACAGUGUGCAUGGAAGCACUCUAUAAACUAAAAAUAAGGCAUUGAUGGUGGGUACCGAUGGCCAAUGCCAAAGAGCACUCUGAUUAAAAUCUAAGGCUCUUUCCAGAACUUCAGUUCUCCACCUAAGAGUCUGCUCUUUUCUCCAAGCUGUUAUUUUUAUUGUUAUUGGAAGAACAUCAAAAGGAUCUCUGCUGGGCCUGAGCAAUACCAAACAAGUCCAGAAUGUACUAUUAAAUGCCCACAAUUAAUUACUGGGCUUGUGUUCUUUUUGCUUUUUUCUUUUUUUACAAGAACCUCUUAGCAUGUCACAAACCUUAAUCUGAAUAGCUGAAUUAACCUUAGAUUAGGAACCCAAGUGCCCAAAGUGGAACCAUGUGUUGAUCUGCUAGUGAUGGAUGGCCUGUGGCCAGUGGCUGCACAUCUGUGAGGCUCUAGUCACUGUAAAUAAAAGAAGCUGCCCUUGUUUUCAGAGCAGCUCAGCCCCUCUGCCAACAGAACACCCUUUGAGCACCCUCCGAUUUUCUAUAAAUCUCGGGUUUGAGAUUCUGAUGUAAUCAUAUGAUUUCCAAACCUUUAAGUGCUUGAAUGGAUUUUAAGACGAAAAGGUGGCCUAGGAGUUCCUGUCGUGGAACAGCAGAAAUGAACCCAACUAGGAACCAUGAGGUUGCAGGUUCAAUCCCUGGCCUCGCUCAGUGGGUUAAGGAUCUGGCUGUGAGCUGUGGUAUAGGUCGCAGAUGCAGCUCGGAUUUGGCGUUGCUGUGGCUGUGGCAUAGGCUGGCAGCUGUAGCUUGGCUUAGACCCAUAGCCUGGAAACCUCCAUGUGCCACGGGUGUGACCCUAAAAACAAACAAACCAAAAACAGCAAAAGGGUGGCUUGAAUAUUUUUACCAACCACUGCUAAUAUCAAAAACAUCACACUGCUUUCUUACAUUCAAAUCCCCUGGGAGAUCUUAAAAAAUUUCUGAAAGGAAUGUUGUCAAUGGAACCACUUCAAAAGGUGCGCUUAAUGAAACCAAAAAACCCUUCAUCAAGGAAGUUGUGGAUCACUCUCCCAAAGAUACCUAGGCAAAGUAGAAAUUGACAAACAUGAAGGCAUUUGCCCCAGCAUCAUCGAGGCUUGUCCAAAAAUUGCCUCUGAUUCUCCAUGAGGAGGUGGGAUGAGCAAUGCUGACAAUGAACUUCUGACUUCCCUUCUGUACUUGAGAACACAGAAGGCUCAAACACAUUAGUUUAUUUCUUGCCUCUUUUCCAUUCCCCACUCAGAGCAUUUGCCUUUGCCAUUCCUUCUACUAGGAAACUC